rnacentral:lncRNA from 1 species
GUGUUUUGAAUUCCAAAAAGGCUUUGAAAAGAGUUUUCUCCGUUUUAAAACCUUCGUUUUUUUACCCAUUUGAGUUUUAGGAUUUAAAAACCAAUAAGGUUGUGAGCAUAAAAUGGGUUUAUUGCAUUAUUAAGCUGCCCCAUAUUUUUGGUGUUUAAAUUUGGGUACAAAAACUAUUUGGUAUUAUUAUUUAUAAAGCCCUAAAGGCAAUCUUAUAAGCAAAACUAUUUUUUAAUAUUUUAUUUUGAGGGAAAAUUAGUCCCAAAAGUUGAAUCAUAUUGUAAUAUGAUUUUACAAAUUUUCUAUGAUUUAUUUGAAUUGAUUUGGAGUUCAAAAUCAAAAGUUAUAAGGGAAAAACAGAAAAAGAAAAAGGAAAAAGAAAAAGGAAAAAAAAAGAGGAAGAAGGAAACCGGACCGACCCAACUGGGCCGGCCCACUUACCUCGGGUGCCCACAGCCUAGCCCGCACGCGCGCGACCAAGCUGCUGACAAGCGGGCCUCGCCUGUCGAACUCGUCUUCUCCGGAAGGCAAGCCCGCGGAAUCCCCGCGCGUGACGGCCACGCGCCAUCGCCGGGAUUCUUCACUUCCCGUGCUCCCC